rnacentral:rRNA from 1 species
GACGAACGCUGGCGGCGUGCUUAACACAUGCAAGUCGAACGGAAAGGCCCUGCUUGCCGUGUACUCGAGGGGCGAACGGGUGAGUAACACGUGGGUGAUCUGCCCGUCACCUGGGGAUAAGCCUGGGAAACGGGGUCUAAUACCGGACAGGAGCCCUAUAUAGUGGGAGGGUUGGGAAGGUGUUGGGGUGUGGGAUUAGCUCGCGGCCGAUCAGCUUGGUGGUGGGGUAGUGGCCUGCCAAGGCGGCGCCGGGUCGCCGGCCUGAGAGGGUGGACGGCCACAAUGGGACUGAGAUACGCGCCAGACAGCUGCGGGGGGCAGCAGUGGGGAAUAGUGCACAAUGGGCGGCAGCCUGAUGCAGCGAAGCACGGUGGGGGGUGACGGCCCUCGGGUUGUAAGCUCCUUUCGCUAGGGACGAAGCUUUUUGUGACGGUACCUAGAUAAGAAGCACCGGCUAACUACGUG